CCGGAGAACACUGCUAUUGGAAUUCGACUAAGCCAUGCAAGUCUACUCUGCAAGCUUUGCAGGGUGGCGUACGGCUCAGUAGCACGUAGUCAAUUUGCCCUCAGGAUGGGUAUAACUUCGGGAAACUGAAGCUAAUCCCCAAUAGAUCAAAAAUGUUGGGAUACUUUUUGAUCGAAAAAGCUCGGAGAAAUGCAUCUGAGUCUGCCUGAGGAUAAGACUGCACCCGAUUAGGUAGUUGGUGGGGUAAAGGCCCACCAAGCCAAUAAUCGGUGGGGGCAAUGGGAGUUGGAGCCCCGAGAAGGGCACAUGAGACAAGGGCCCUAGUCCUACGGGAUGCAGCAGGCGCGAAACCUCCACAAUGCGCGAAAGCGUGAUGGGGGAAUUCCAAGUGAUACUCCACGCGAGUAUCUUUUUCGCAAGUCUACAACGCUUGCGGAAUAAGGGCUGGGUAAGACCGGUGCCAGCCGCCGCGGUAAAACCGGCAGCUCGAGUGGUGUUCACGAAUAUUGGGCCUAAAGAGCACGUAGCUGGCCUUUCAAGUCCCCUGUGAAAUCUUCGAGCUUAACUCGAAGGCGUGCAGAGGAUACUGUUGGGCUUGAGAGUGGGGGAGGUCAAGAGUAUUCAUAGGGUAAGGGUAAAAUCCUGUAAUCUUGUGAAGACUAUCAGUGGCGAAGGCGCUUGACCAAAACACGUCUGACAGUGAGGUGCGAAGGCUAGGAGAACGAAUCGGAUUAGAUACCCGAGUAGCCCUAGCAGUAAAUUAUGCAGACUGUGGUGUUGUAAUAGCCUAGAGCUAUUUCAGUACCGUAGCGUAGGUGUUAAGUCUGCCGCCUGGGGAGUACGGCCGCAAGGUUGAAACUUAA
rnacentral:rRNA from 1 species